rnacentral:rRNA from 1 species
CAGUCGCCGCGGGAAUACAGAGGAUGCAAGCGUUAUCCGGAAUUAUUGGGCGUAAAGGGCUCGCAGGCGGUUUCUUAAGUCUGAUGUGAAAGCCCCCGGCUCAACCGGGGAGGGUCAUUGGAAACUGGGAAACUUGAGUGCAGAAGAGGAGAGUGGAAUUCCACGUGUAGCGGUGAAAUGCGUAGAGAUGUGGAGGAACACCAGUGGCGAAGGCGACUCUCUGGUCUGUAACUGACGCUGAGGAGCGAAAGCGUGGGGAGCGAACAGGAUUAGAUACCCGUGUAGUCCCUGUCUCUUAUAA